GAUGAAGAACGUAGCGAAAUGCGAUAAGUAAUGUGAAUUGCAGAAUUCAGUGAAUCAUCGAAUCUUUGAACGCACAUUGCGCCCGCCAGUAUUCCGGCGGGCAUGCCUGUUCGAGCGUCAUUUCAACCAUCAAGCCCCCGGGCUUGUGUUGGGGACCUGCGGCUGCCGCAGGCCCUGAAAAGCAGUGGCGGGCUCGCUGUCACACCGAGCGUAGUAGAUUUUAUCUCGCUCAGGGCGUGCUGCGGGUUCCGGCCGUUAAACCACCUUCAUAACCCAAGGUUGACCUCGGAUCAGGUAGGAAGACCCGCUGAACUUAAGCAUAUCAAUAAGCGGAGGA
rnacentral:misc_RNA from 1 species